rnacentral:ncRNA from 1 species
UGAAAAAUUUAAUUUAGGUUUUUUCUAUUAAUAUUUUUAUUUUUAAAUUUAUAUGUAAAUUUUUAUGUAAAUUUUCAUUAUUUUUUUUAAAUAAAAAAUUAAUUUAAUUUUAUUCGCAGUAAAUAAUUUUAAAUAUAAAUUUAUGUUUGAUUUAGAAAAUUUUAAAUAUUGACUAAAUUUGUGCCAGCAAUCGCGGUUAUACAGGUAAUAUAAUUAAUAGAUUUUAGAUAAAAUUAAUUUUUAAUUUAAUUUAAAAAUUUAAAUUUUUAGGUGAAAUUUAAAUUUAAAUUUUAAGUUAUGAUAUAAAAUGAAGUUUAAAAAAUUUAAGUUAAACUAGGAUUAGAUACCCUAUUAUUGAAAUUGUAAUAUUUAAUUCUAAGUUAUUAUUAGUUAAGUUCUUGAAAAUUAAAAAUUUUGGCGGUAUUUUAAUCUUUUCAGAGGAACCUGUUCUAUAAUCGAUAAUCCACGAUAUACUUUACUUUUAUUAAAUUUACAUAUCGUUGUUUAAGAAUAUUUUUAAAGAAUUUUAAUAUUUAAAGUUUUAUAAUUAAAAAUAAAUCAAAUCAAGAUGUAGUUAUAUAUAAGUAGAAAUGGGUUACAAUAAAUUAAAUUAGGUGGAAUAUAAAAUUAAAAUUUUAUAGGAAAAUGGAUUUGAAAGUAAUUAAUUUUAUUUAUUUUUAAUGAUUAAAGUUUUAAAAUAUGUACAUAUUGCCCGUCGCUUUCAUUAUAAGAUGAAAUAAGUCGUAACAAAGUAGAUGUACUGGAAAGUGUAUCUAGAUGUU